UAUUACUUGACCAGUUUGUGAGAACGCAAGGUUGAGUUGGAGGAGUGUGGGCAGAUAAGUAAACGCUCAGACAUGGAAAUGGAUGAGGACAAAUGGACAGGCAUCUGGAUCCCAGGGCAGGCAGGUAAACCAGUGUGGGGUUCCAGGACCAACCAGGUUCAUCAGCAAGAAGGGGCCAUCUGUUGGGUACGGAAACCUGUUCUUGGUGGAUUUUAAAGAGAAAAGGCCAAUCACUCUUCCCAGAUAAAUUAGUUUAGUUCCUCUUUUUUUCAACAGCACAAAAACCAAAGAAAAUGAUUUAAUCAGAACUGGGGUUACUGGUCCAGACAGGACUAAGAACGUGGCUUAUGAUUUUACAUCCUUUGGCCUCUCUAUACUGUUAAAUGAGCAGACAGAGCUCCCAGAAGAGAUACAAUGGGUUUGCCCGCCACGAGAGGCAGGCUUGUGGAUGGAGUUGUGCAUUGUCUUAACACGGAUUCGUACACAGGAUUUUCAGGGCAGGCUCGGUGAAUUCCAACGCAGUAUGCUUCCAACUGCGUAUUUCUAUAAAAAAAAUUAUAGUGUCCCAGUAGACACCAAGUAAACACUGCAUCUGGAAGAAAGAAGCCCACGUACUUCAAAUGGGAAGAACGAGGAGGUUGUCAUGACAACCACGGAGAGGGCUGUGCUCCCUGGCUGGGCUUCACGCCCGCCUGAGCUGGGCUCUGCGUCCUGUCUGAAACUCUGCAAACCUGCCUGCAUUUCACGUCUUUAAAGCCAUAGAAAACGCGACGGCUGUGAUCUGCACAGUGCGACCUAGAGAGACACACACUUUCCCUCGCACCUGGUGUCUGUUUCUAAACAGAGAAGCCUGAAUAGACACAUAGAAGCCUCUGGAAUCCCACAGCCUUGUAUUGCUGGGCGAGAAACAAGAAGUGCAACAGGGAACUGCUGCCCACACGGAAUGCCACCUGUCAUCAAUGAAGACGGGCAGAGAAACUCACCUGGGCUGCGGCUCCUUCCGAGACUUGCUCUGCAGAAGAACAGCCUUCUCACCCAUCCCUCCCGUGCAGUCGCUGAAAGGACAGACGCGUUCUGCAAGAGAAGCUUGUCUUCCACUUCUUAGCAAUUACUUAGUGAGGCAACACGAAGGAAGUGGGGAGUAACAGAGAUUGAAGAAAUGUGGAAAAAUUGUUGACACCAUUGCAUACGUGUUACCAGUAUCGGCAUUGGCACCAUUGCAUGCAGGUUACCAGUGUCGGCAUUGGCACCAUUGCAUACGUGUUACCAGUAUCGGCAUUGGCACCAUUGCAUACGUGUUACCAGUAUCAGCAUUGGCACCAUUGCACACGUGUUACCAGUAUCGGCAUUGACACCAUUGCAU
rnacentral:lncRNA from 1 species